rnacentral:rRNA from 1 species
GACGAACGCUGGCGGCGUGCUUAACACAUGCAAGUCGAACGGAAAGGCCCUGCUUUUGUGGGGUGCUCGAGUGGCGAACGGGUGAGUAACACGUGAGUAACCUGCCCUUGACUUUGGGAUAACUUCAGGAAACUGGGGCUAAUACCGGAUAGGAGCUCCUGCUGCAUGGUGGGGGUUGGAAAGUUUCGGCGGUUGGGGAUGGACUCGCGGCUUAUCAGCGUGUUGGUGGGGUAGUGGCUUACCAAGGCUUUGACGGGUAGCCGGCCUGAGAGGGUGACAGGCCACAUUGGGAAUGAGAUACGGCCCAGACUCGUACGGGAGGCAGCAGUGGGGAAUAUUGAACAAUGGGCGGACGCCUCAUGCAGCAACGCCGCGUGCGGGAUGCCCGCCUUCGGGUUGUAACCCGCUUUCGCCUGUGACGAAGCGUGAGUGACGGUAAUGGGUAAAGAAGCACCGGCUAACUACGUG